rnacentral:rRNA from 1 species
UACGUAGGGGCUAGCGUUGUCCGGAUUUAUUGGCGUAAAGAGCGUGUAGGCGGCCAGAUAGGUCUGCUGUGAAAACUCGAGGCUCAACCUCGAGAUGUCGGCGGAAACCAUUUGGCUAGAGUCCGGAAGAGGAAAGUGGAAUUCCUGGUGUAGCGGUGAAAUGCGCAGAUAUCAGGAAGAACACCCGUGGCGAAGGCGGCUUCUGGACGGUACUGACGCUGAGACGCGAAGCGUGGGGAGCGAACAGG